rnacentral:rRNA from 1 species
AGCUCAAAUUUGAAAUCUGGCGUGCUCAGUGCGUCCGAGUUGUAAUCUAUAGAGUCGUUUUCCGUGCCGGACUGUGUCCAAGUCCCUUGGAACAGGGUAUCAAAGAGGGUGAUAAUCCCGUACUUGACACAAUGACCGGUGCUCUGUGAUACGUCUUCUACGAGUCGAGUUGUUUGGGAAUGCAGCUCAAAAUGGGUGGUGAGUUCCAUCUAAAGCUAAAUAUUGGCGAGAGACCGAUAGCGAACAAGUACCGUGAGGGAAAGAUGAAAAGCACUUUGGAAAGAGAGUUAAACAGUACGUGAAAUUGUUAAAAGGGAAACGAUUGAAGUCAGUCGUGACUGAGAGGCUCAGCCGGUUCUGCCGGUGUAUUCCCCUCAGUCGGGUCAACAUCAGUUUUGUUCGGUGGAUAAGGGCAGUUGGAAGGUGGCACCCUCGGGUGUGUUAUAGCCAGCUGUCGCAUACAUCGGAUGAGACUGAGGAAUGCAGCUCGCCUUUAUGGCCGGGGUUCGCCCACGUUCGAGCUUAGGAUGUUGACAUAAUGGCUUUAAACGACCCGUCUGAAA